GGCUCAGGAUGAACGCUGGCGGCGUGCCUAAUACAUGCAAGUCGAGCGAACAGAUAAGGAGCUUGCUCCUUUGACGUUAGCGGCGGACGGGUGAGUAACACGUGGGUAACCUACCUAUAAGACUGGAAUAACUCCGGGAAACCGGGGCUAAUGCCGGAUAACAUUUAGAACCGCAUGGUUCUAAAGUAAAAGAUGGUUUUGCUAUCACUUAUAGAUGGACCCGCGCCGUAUUAGCUAGUUGGUAAGGUAACGGCUUACCAAGGCAACGAUACGUAGCCGACCUGAGAAGGUGAUCGGCCACACUGGAACUGAGACACGGUCCAGACUCCUACGGGAGGCAGCAGUAGGGAAUCUUCCGCAAUGGGCGAAAGCCUGACGGAGCAACGCCGCGUGAGUGAUGAAGGUCUUCGGAUCGUAAAACUCUGUUAUUAGGGAAGAACAAAUGUGUAAGUAACUGUGCACGUCUUGACGGUACCUAAUCAGAAAGCCACGGCUAACUACGUGCCAGCAGCCGCGGUAAUA
rnacentral:rRNA from 1 species